GCCUUCGUGGUGUAGUGGUCAGCACGCUCGACGCGUAACCGAGAGGUCCGUGGUUCGAUUCCCGGCCAAGGCU
rfam:Stegodyphus mimosarum contig32736, whole genome shotgun sequence.